UACGUAGGGGGCUAGCGUUGCUCGGAAUCACUGGGCGUAAAGGGUGCGUAGGCGGGUCUUUAAGUCAGGGGUGAAAUCCUGGAGCUCAACUCCAGAACUGCCUUUGAUACUGAAGAUCUUGAGUUCGGGAGAGGUGAGUGGAACUGCGAGUGUAGAGGUGAAAUUCGUAGAUAUCGGGAGGAACACCAGUGGCGAAGGCGGCGAUCUGGGAAGAUACUGACGCUGAGGUGCGAAAGCGUGGGGAGCAAACAGG
rnacentral:rRNA from 1 species